GCGGCGGACGGGUGAGUAACACGUGGGGCAACCUGCCCUGCAGACUGGGAUAACUUCGGGAAACCGGAGCUAAUACCGGAUAACACCGAAAACCGCAUGGUUUUCGGUUGAAAGGCGGCUUUUAGCUGUCACUGCAGGAUGGGCCCGCGGCGCAUUAGCUAGUUGGUGAGGUAACGGCUCACCAAGGCGACGAUGCGUAGCCGACCUGAGAGGGUGACCGGCCACACUGGGACUGAGACACGGCCCAGACUCCUACGGGAGGCAGCAGUAGGGAAUCUUCCGCAAUGGACGAAAGUCUGACGGAGCAACGCCGCGUGAGCGAAGAAGGUCUUCGGAUCGUAAAGCUCUGUUGUCAGGGAAGAACAAGUGCCGUUCGAACAGGGCGGUACCUUGACGGUACCUGACGAGGAAGCCACGGCUAACUACGUGCCAGCAGCCGCGGUAAUAC
rnacentral:rRNA from 3 species